GCCUCUGUAGCUCAGUGGCAGAGCACUGGCCUUGUGAACCAGGAGUCGUGAGUUUCAUCCUCACAGGAGGCA
rnacentral:tRNA from 1 species